GAUGAACGCUGGCGGCGUGCCUAAUACAUGCAAGUCGAGCGAACGGACGAGAAGCUUGCUUCUCUGAUGUUAGCGGCGGACGGGUGAGUAACACGUGGAUAACCUACCUAUAAGACUGGGAUAACUUCGGGAAACCGGAGCUAAUACCGGAUGAUAUUUUGAACCGCAUGGUUCAAGAGUGAAAGACGGUCUGGCUGUCACUUAUAGAUGGAUCCGCGCUGCAUUAGCUAGUUGGUAAGGUAACGGCUUACCAAGGCAACGAUGCAUAGCCGACCUGAGAGGGUGAUCGGCCACACUGGAACUGAGACACGGUCCAGACUCCUACGGGAGGCAGCAGUAGGGAAUCUUCCGCAAUGGGCGAAAGCCUGACGGAGCAACGCCGCGUGAGUGAUGAAGGUCUUCGGAUCGUAAAACUCUGUUAUUAGGGAAGAACAUAUGUGUAAGUAACUGUGCACAUCUUGACGGUACCUAAUCAGAAAGCCACGGCUAACUACGUG
rnacentral:rRNA from 1 species